rnacentral:rRNA from 1 species
CCUACGGGAGGCAGCAGUGGGGAAUAUUGGACAAUGGGGGGAACCCUGAUCCAGCCAUGCCGCGUGUGUGAAGAAGGCCCUCGGGUUGUAAAGCACUUUCAGUGAGGAAGAACGCCUGGUGGUUAAUACCCAUCAGGAAAGACAUCACUCACAGAAGAAGCACCGGCUAACUCCGUGCCAGCAGCCGCGGUAAUACGGAGGGUGCGAGCGUUAAUCGGAAUUACUGGGCGUAAAGCGCGCGUAGGUGGCUUGAUAAGCCGGUUGUGAAAGCCCCGGGCUCAACCUGGGAACGGCAUCCGGAACUGUCAAGCUAGAGUGCCGGAGAGGAAGGUAGAAUUCCCGGUGUAGCGGUGAAAUGCGUAGAGAUCGGGAGGAAUACCAGUGGCGAAGGCGGCCUUCUGGACUGACACUGACACUGAGGUGCGAAAGCGUGGGUAGCAAACAGGAUUAGAUACCCCAGUAGUC